UACGUAGGGUGCAAGCGUUAAUCGGAAUUACUGGGCGUAAAGCGUGCGCAGGCGGUGAUGUAAGACAGUUGUGAAAUCCCCGGGCUCAACCUGGGAACUGCAUCUGUGACUGCAUCGCUGGAGUGCGGCAGAGGGGGAUGGAAUUCCGCGUGUAGCAGUGAAAUGCGUAGAUAUGCGGAGGAACACCGAUGGCGAAGGCAAUCCCCUGGGCCUGCACUGACGCUCAUGCACGAAAGCGUGGGGAGCGAAACAAGGAUUGA
rnacentral:rRNA from 1 species